GUUUCUUUCUCCCUGUGGUCCUAUGCCAGUGCCUCUGGCAGCCCUCCCCAAGGACUCCUGUGAGAAAAGUCAGAAAUGGCUUUGCUGGGGACCCAGAGAACCAACAGGGCUUUUCCCGCUGCUUCCUCUACCCCUGUGUUUCGCUAGGCUCUCUAAAUUGACUCAGCUCCAGGUGUCAACUCGACUGAACUGGGGGAUGCUUCUGGAUGUGUCUGUGAGGGUGUUUCCAGAAGAGAUUAACCUGUGAGUCAGUGGACUGACAGAAGAAGACCCACUCUCAAUGUGGGCAGGCACCGUACGAUCAGUUGGGGGCCUAGGGAUGAGAAAAAACAGGGGAAAAAAGAGGUGAUUGGUGAUUCUCUCUAUCUCCCUCCCUCUUCUCUCUUUCCCUCCAUCCCUUUCUCCUCCCCCGACACUCCUUUCCUGGAGCAGGAUACUUGUUCUCCUUCUGCCUUUGGACACAAGACUCCAAGUUUUUCAGCUUUUGGACUCAGCAACUUGCACCAGAGGUUUCCCAGGGCUCUGGUGCCUGACUGGGAAGCUGGACUGUCAGCUUCCCUGGUUCUGGGGUUCCUGAACAUGGACUGAGCCACUACUGGAUUCUCUUCUCCUUGGUGAUACCAUGAGCCAAUUUCCCUUAAUAAAUCCCCUUCCAUAUAUCC
rnacentral:lncRNA from 1 species